CUGUUAAGACAGUACUUACUAGUGUUAAUCAGGGCCGGUUCAUCGUUAGAACCAUCGGACACCUUAAGAUGCGUUUGGGAAACCGGGCCCAGAUAUCCAGUUUCCUCCUCUUCUUCAUUGUUCGAUGACACAGUCACCUCCCCCUCUUCUUCAUCUUCUUCAUCAUCUUCUUUCACUGAAACGUCGUCGUCUUCCUCUUCUUUAACUGAGACGUCAUUUUCUUCUUCGUUCACAGUAACAGCCUCGACCUCUACUUGUUUUUGUAUUGUAACAGUCUCCUCUUCCUCCACCUCUUUCACGAGAGUUUCUUUCUCCAUACAGCAGACCGCCUCUUCUUCAGCAGGAACGUGGUUAAGUUUGAGACUGGAGCUAUGAGGCAUGGACUGAAGUCGCUAAGCGGUAUAAUUCAAAGCAGUGUCCCUUUAUCAGCAGCACGUGAUCAAUGACGUCUGAAGAAUAAUUUCGUCGAACACCUGAUUGGUUUUGAUGAAUUUGGGCUCGUUCGACAUUGCAGCCGACAGUGCAGGUGGCUGCUGACUCAUUUACAAAUCACCUUGCAUUUUAAAUAACUACUCGUUAUUAUUUAUACAUCAGUCAGCCAGUCACCGUUUACCCACAAUUCAGCAUGGACUUGAUGCUCUCGAUCAAGGCCAGUGGUUUAGUAGCAGACCUGAAGGCUACGCUGCUACGGUGGGGGACGUCAUCUUUCAAAAUGUGGCUUUUCUAAAUUCUGUGUCGCUCAAAGCCUUGACCUUCCUCUCCUCUGAAGACCCAGUGAGGGUGGAGCUCAGUCAGAGAGCUGUUGAGGGACUGGUUAGGAAGAACACUUCUACAGCCAGAGAGGGACAGUCAAGAAAUGGAACAGCAAGGCCACAGAGCAUGACAUAAGCAGAGCUGUGGGAGACCACCUCAAGCCCCUGGUAGAGCAGGGGGUGGUGUUUACCACUCCACCACACCUUCAGCAGGCUGGAAAAUUAACCCUGAUAUUUUAAAAGCAGGGCAACAACGUCAAUAUAAUUGUACCCAAAAAUUGUCAGUUGGUUGCAUAAAUAAUUAUGAUUACUAAAUGUUACAUGAAAUGUAAAUAUUAAAUAUUCGGUUACAGUCUUAUUUUCAACAUAUUUUCAAUGACAUUUUGCUAGGUGUGAUAUCCCCAAUGUCAAAACACAGUUUUAAUGUCUCCAAAUCAAUAACCAAUAUGCAGAAACAGUUUGGGAUAAAUUGAAAACCUAAACAUAACAUGUGCUGUAUACACAAACAUCUGCCACAAUAAUCAUUACUUGUAAUUUUUAAAACAAGCUCCUUAUAAACUGCACAAGCAUCAAAAACGCUGUUGUUUUGACAAGAAGCAAUAAAUCACUGAUAUCGAUUAGAGGGGAAAUUAGGUUGUACGUGCUGUUGAAACUAACACAACUUAAAAAAACACAUGGUAAAAGAUAUCUCCCAUUUCCUCACUGGUUAGAGGACAACCUGCAGAAGACAGUCAGCUACAUUUGGAGUGAUGCAUUUAAAUUUAGGAGUCACUAAACAAAGGAACACAACA